GGAGGCAUAGCCCAGAUGGUUAGAGCGCUUGCUUGACAUGCAAGAGGUCAUAGGUUCGAUUCCUAUUGUCUCCACCA
rnacentral:tRNA from 2 species